GCUCCGGUGGCCUAGUGGUUAGAGCGUCCGCCUCGGAUGCGGGAGGUCGUGGGUUCUACCUCCGGUCGAGUCA